GGCAAAGUGGCCGAGCGGUCUAAGGCGCCACGUUAAGGUUUAACCUUGAUUCAUUGACUUCCUCAGUUCCUGAGGUUGGAAAGAGUUCCGUGGUCCGAAAGGGCGUGAGUUCGAAUCUCACCUUUGUCA